rnacentral:rRNA from 1 species
CAGGCCUAACACAUGCAAGUCGAACGAUGGUCUUCGGAUCAUAGUGGCGCACGGGUGCGUAACGCGUGGGAAUCUGCCCUUGGGUUCGGAAUAACAGUUGGAAACGACUGCUAAUACCGGAUGAUGUCGAUAAGACCAAAGAUUUAUCGCCUGAGGAUGAGCCCGCGUCGGAUUAGCUAGUUGGUGGGGUAAAGGCCUACCAAGGCGACGAUCCGUAGCUGGUCUGAGAGGAUGAUCAGCCACACUGGGACUGAGACACGGCCCAGACUCCUACGGGAGGCAGCAGUGGGGAAUAUUGGACAAUGGGCGCAAGCCUGAUCCAGCAAUGCCGCGUGAGUGAUGAAGGCCUUAGGGUUGUAAAGCUCUUUUACCCGGGAAGAUAAUGACUGUACCGGGAGAAUAAGCCCCGGCUAACUCCGUGCCAGCAGCCGCGGUAAU